rnacentral:rRNA from 1 species
UACGGAGGGGGCUAGCGUUGCUCGGAAUCACUGGGCGUAAAGCGCACGUAGGCGGCUUCUUAAGUCAGGGGUGAAAGCCUGGAGCUCAACUCCAGAACUGCCUUUGAUACUGAGGAGCUUGAGUCCGGGAGAGGUGAGUGGAACUGCGAGUGUAGAGGUGAAAUUCGUAGAUAUUCGCAAGAACACCAGUGGCGAAGGCGGCUCACUGGCCCGGUACUGACGCUGAGGUGCGAAAGCGUGGGGAGCGAACAGG